GGCUCGGUAGCGGAUGGUUUCCGCGCCUGCUUCAUAUUCUUGGGAAUAUUCAACUUCAGCAGGAGAACGCUCGUUCGACUCGAGCCUGGGCCA